rnacentral:lncRNA from 1 species
UAAAAUAAACACCGGAUAUUUUAGCUAUUUCUUAUAAAAUUCUAUUAUAAAAAAAAUUGUUUUUGAGUAUAGAUGUUCUUUGGUUCGGAGAUUCUUUGUUCCACAUCAUCUUGAUCUUGUGAGAUAAAUUUUUAACAGUGAAAUGUUUUCUCUCUAAGGACAACCUUUGUUUCAACCCAGGUAUUUUUAAACCGUUCCUAUAUUAUAUUUAUUCUUUAUAAUAAUUGAUUGUAAAAGCAUUUUAUGUGUUUUAAUUAUAGGUGAGAUUAUAACACUGCUAUAUUUGUUGUUUCUAGCUUCCUAAUUCUUUAUGGCACAAGAGCUAUCUUGAGCACUUUAUCUUGGGAUACGCGUUAAUAGCACAAGAAAUACGUACAAUGCAGCAAAGUUCCCUCAGCAAAGCAUGGUUUCCGUUUCGUGAUGGUUAUAGUCUAUGCCCUUAGUGCCAUUAUGCAUAAUAAUUAACUAAAGAACAAGGAUUCCCUAAAAAAAACACCAAAGAACAAGGAAAAAAAAUAUUUGAAAAUGAUAUGAUAAAAACAAGUGCAUUGUAUUAUAUAUGCUUGAUAAUGGUUAUAAUUGUUGUCUUUUAAAUGUAUUCACAUGGUUGGAAAGUAGAAUUUUAAGUUAAGAUCUGGAAGAAAACAUGGUCUUUAUUAUGCAUAGAAAAUUAGAGAAUGUGUGAGAAGAUGGCAUUGGAGUUACCCUAAAUUGCAGCAGUGUAAAUCACAAGUGAGCUAAGAUAGUCUUGACUGUCAUGUUCUUUAAAUUGUCUUGAACUACUAUCUUAACCGUGCAUGCACGGAAAAAAAAUUUAACUUAUUAUAUUAUGAUUAUAAUAUGUAAUUUGUUUUAUGAUAAAUUUGAUCAAACUAAAAAACUGAUAUCAAUAUAUAAAUUAUAAAUAUAUUGACAAAACAUUGAAAGAUAAUAAGAGUUUUUUAAUAUAUUAACAUAAAAUUCAUCAUACUACUUAUAUCUAUUUAUCAUCAUACUACUUGUAUCUAUCUAGAGUUUUGACAGCAGUUUGUGGUUACUAUAUUUCCUAAUCUAAUAUAAACAAUUAUUAUAUAAAUUUCAUUAAAUAAUAAAAAGUAAUAACAUAUAUAUAUAUAUAUAUAUAUAUAUAUAUAUAUAUAUAUUUAUAUAAUUAAAUCUAAAGUUGACCAUAAAGUGUUGUUUAUAAAAUAUUACUAAUAAUUAUUAAAGUUACAAUAAAAUAUAUAUUAUAUAUCGAUAUAAUAUAACCAUAAAUAUUAAAUUUUCUAAAAAAUUUUCUUCUUUGUUUGUUAUUUUUUUCUUUAAAAAUAAGCAGCUUCUUUUGUAAGAAGUUUUAGUGUUUGAUUCAGUUUUUCCUUAUAAGUAUUUGUGAUAUAAUUUUACAAAUUUUUUUAUAUCAAAUCAAAUAAAAUAAAUUAUUUAAGUCAGAAAAAGAGGAAGCCAUAAAAUUAUUAUAACUUAGAAGUAUCAUUAGAGAGUCUAACACCUUAAUCACACCUUAAUUAAGGUGCUAACUAAAUAAAAUGCAGAAAGUGAAAGAAAGAAAAGCAUUGUAUUGGUAUUGUUUGAUUUGAUAGUAUUUGUGUUGCAUUCCCUUGUACGUUUUCUCUGGUUAUAUUCUUUGUUGUUUCUGUCUUAUAAUAGAACAACGGAGUAUUCAUGUUGAGCAGUUUUAUGUAGAUGCAUUUUUUGUCUUUAUUAAUUGGAAUUUUACUUUGAUAAGAACCGUGACAUAUGUAUAUCCCAUAUUUCUAAUAUUCGUUUUGUCUCUUGUUACGUUAGUACUAUUAUUUAGGAUAUAAUAUUUUGUCUAUUUAUUUUCUUGUUAAAUUUAAUCUUAGUCUAUAAUUUUGGUCAUUGUGUUUAAUGAUAUACAAAAACGGAGCCAAGUUCAAGAGUAUAUUUGUCUUGAAAUUCACAAACAUCAAAUGGAGUUAAGAGUGAAAAAUCAAUUACAUCAAUUUUCAAAAAUAAGAAAUCAAAAUCAUCAUCAUUUUAAAAGUAACAAGAUUAUGAUUAAGUUUAUUCAGAAAAUAAAUAAAUUUUAUUCAGAAAUAAAAUUUAUUUGAAGACAAAUAGAUGUUACUAACUAAUUUGAAAGAUAAUUUUGGAAAAAUAAAUAUAAAUUAUUAAAUAAUUUAAUGUUAUUAACUAAAUUAAAUAACUUUCUUAAAUGUGAAUUAGGUAAAAUAAUUUUAUAUUUAAGAAUGAAGCCAGUUAGUUUUGUUUUGAUUAUUACUCAAAAGUAAUUUACUGCAAUACGUUAUAGUUACAACAGACCUUACUAGUUACUACUAACUACAGCUAAAGCAUCGUAUCUAUGAUUUUUUUUUUUUAUUUAUCCAUUUUUUUAAAACAACCACAUAUACUCUGUAUGGGACCAAUCCAAAUAUACUCUGUAUGGGGUUUGCUAAUAUACAUACUUCCUUUUCUAAUUGGAAUGCAUUAGCCAUGUACACCAAAAUAUUUGCACAUUAAACUCAUUCAACUUCUAUGUUUUAUUAUAUUUAUUUUAAGGAUCUUAUUGUAAUUUAGUUUUAUUUUUAAAAAAAUAGAUUUCUCUCUCCUCUUCCACUCAUGGCUCUCGUUCCAAAUUAACAAAGAAGGUUUGAUCAAUCCUUGUAACCUGCUUUGCCUCCGCAUUCUACUGCCACCAUCAUUUGUGACGAUGACGACCACGACAUCUCCGGUAGAAAACUCCACUGCAUCGUCAUCGCACUAUAGUAGAACUUGAAUUGUUUUUCUUUUAUCAUAGUCACACCUUUUCCCUCAUCAAAAACUUGUAUUUUUCAAUUGCACGAUAGGAUCAUGUGUUUCCAUGAUUCCAUGAAGAAACUUGUACAAUCCAUUAAGCAAAGGUGGUUAAAAGUUUUUUUUUUUCCGGUGACAAAAGUUGAUCCCCUCUCGUUACAAAGAAAAAAGUGGUUGCGAUUAAAAAUUUGUGAUGUUGCACCAACAACAUGAACAUGGAGGUUGGAGUAAGAGACGAUCACCAUGGAAGGACAUCUCUAAUAGGAGAUUUCAUUUUAGAUUCUUAACUACUUUUUUGGUUCUAUGAUGUCACAUUACUUUUAAAAUCUCUUAAAUUUUUUAUUCAAAUCAUUUUAAAAUAUUUAUUUAUAAUUUUUUUUAAAUAAUGAAAAAUAAUUAAUUAUAUAAUUUUAAAUUUCAAAAAAAUUUACAACAGAGAAACUCUGAGAUAAAGUGGGUUCCAACGGCGUAGUGGGGUUCUAUUGUGCACCAUAUAAUCCCACUACAUUUACAUUUCUAUUAUAUACUAUUCCUAUUUUUUUUUCUUACUUUUUUCUUCCCUCUUUGCUUUCCCACCCACCUCCUCCCUCCUUUCUUCUUUUCUCUCUUACCCCCACCUCCUCCGCCCCCGAUCGGGGUCCCUUGACCGCACAAAUCUCUUAUUUGACCACCAUAAUCGUCGUCAGCCACCGAUCUGACCUCCAUCCCUCUUUUGUAAUUAUUUUAUUUUUUAUUAUUUGUUUAAAAUUAUAUUGUUAUGUUAUUGUAUUGGAUUGUGGUCUAUUGUUGGUGUUAUAUGUUCUUCUUCUUCUUCUUUUUCGCAACAAUUAGUUAGGACUUAGGAGAGAAACAAUAAAAAACAAUUUAAAAAAAUUACAGAUAUUUAGGAUUCUUCUAUAAGAACCAAAUCUUCGACAUGAAGAUCUUAAGAGAGGGUCUCCAGUAGCUAGAUCUUAGACGAACAAAUCUUCAGCUUAAGAUCUCUCUAGGAUCUUGAGAUGACCUAAGAUGAGAAUAAAAGAUUCUUUUUCCCAAUUUCACCUUCUCUCUCCUAUAAUUUUUCAAAAUACACCAUUCUCAAAAUAAAUGCUUGAAAUGAACCUAUUUUUACUAUCGGUGAGAAGUCGGUUUUUUUUUUUUCCAAUUACACCUUGACCUUCUUUCUCCUAUAAUUUCUCAAAAUACACCACUUUCAAAAUAAAUACUUGAAAUGCACCUAUUUUUACUGUUGGUGAGAAGUUGGGUUUAGCAAUCCCGAAUUCUCAACCUGCAUGUUUUUUUUAACUUUAAUUUGUUUUAAUUUUUUAAGAAAAGAUUUUUAAGGAGGUUAAGAAGUUGGGAAUUCACUGCCUAAUUCCCUAACUUUAUUUUUUUAAAAUAUUAUAUUUUUAAAAAAAAUGAUUUUAUUAAAUAUGAUUUUUUUGCUUAUAUUACUUAAUUUUAAAAAAUUGAUAAUAUUUUUGGCUUAAUAAUAAUUAAUUUAUACUAGAAUACAUUACAUCAUAAAUAAAAUACAUGAAUAAUAAUAUGUCUUUGGCUUAAUAAUAAUUAAUUUAUAUUAUAAUACAUUACAUCAUAAAUAAAAUACAUGAAUAAUGAUAUUUGUCUAAGGGAAAUUUGUUUGUUAUAACCUUGUUGUCAGCAUAUUUCAUAUUUUUUUUUGUGGUAUCCCAUUCUAUUUCUUUGUUCAUUUCAGUGGGAAUGCGAUUGAACGACCCUUUGCACUCCUUCUUCUCCUCAGAUUGGAUUAGGACCCAUUGAUCUCCUUCAUAUUCUUGUCACAUUAAUUUGUGUGGUGAUAAACCAAAGGAGUUAUCGUAAACAUUAUGUCCUGUAAAGUAAAUAGCGGUGUAACAUAGUUCAUGGGAUCAACAUUGACAGAUUUACAGACAAUCAUAAUGUGAGAACAUGGUAAUUGUUUAGCCUGAUAUUCACCACAAUCACAAUUUUGAGAUUGUAAUAUGAUUCUAAACCUUCCAGGUGCUCUGGGUGUUUGAAAUGGGGCUUGGGUCUCUUACCAUAAAUGUGUGGGUGUGUUUGUCAAAUUCAUUCAUUUAACAAUGUUUGUAUUUGAUCCUUGCUAACUAUUAUUCUUUGCCUCCGAGACGACUUUGGAAUAUUGUGAGUCGGAGUUGAUCAUUGCUUGGGUGUGUCGGCCUCUAACAGCAAAAAAAUUUGCGAUCUUGAAGUACAUUGCAGUCUUAAAAUAUGUCUCCUCAACCAACGAUGAUGACACUGGCAUUUCUUGUGCUUUUGAACAUAGAAUUAACCAACUCAGACAACAAAUUUAUAGUCAUAUGUCCUCAACAUUUCCCCUCAUCGAAACAUUGUACCCAAUAUUUUUUGGGUCACUGAUCCAGUCAUUCAGCUACAAACACUAGUCAAUUUAAUAUGUUAUGAAAUUUGAAUUAAAAUAUAAUUUAACAAAAAAAAAUAAAGAUUUUCACUAGCCUGCAUGAGUGGUUUCUUCAAAUGUUUGCAGUUCCGGUUACCCGUGAAGAAAUGGGAAGUGUCCUCAACCCAUAAGUUACUUGGGUUGUGGUAGACACUUAUAAUCAAUGGGUGCCUAUAUGAAAUGAGAGAAAUGCUACUUUGUGGAGUAUCCUGCCUUCUCAAAUUUUGAUGGAAAACCCUAUGCUGAAGUUGACUCCCCUUCUACAAUGGCGUAGGCAAUCGGGAAGAUAUGGUUAGCAUUGUCUUGUGUUUUCGCUAUCAAUAAUGUGUCAGUAUACUUCCCCUAAAGACAUGUACCAUCUACUUGUACGAUGGGUUUGCAAUAUGCAAAACAAACACAGUAAUGCAUGGACCGAAUGACCAAAACACACUUUUAAGCAUUUUUUUUUGCCAAGUACUAUUUCUCUUUCUUCAAACACGGAUUUUGUUUGAGCAACAAUCAUAAUCCCAGGAACACAACAUUGCAAAGCUCCCAAAACUUUUGGUAGCUUGACAUACGAUUCUUUUCCAUAAUCAUCUCCAACGCUUGCUAACCAUGUCAUUUUGUAGGAUAGAGUAUAAUUCAUGAACUUUUUAAUCUUUGUAAUUAAUGUUUUGAUGGAGAUUGUUGGGUUCAUUUUGACAAUGGGUUGGAUGAUCUACGUUAUGAUGUGUUUGUCGAGUUGCCUAUGAUCCUGUCUAAGCAUUGGUGCGAGACAAGUGCGAUGACCUCUGAUAUUCUUGAUAAUUCAUUUCCUAUGCAUCUUUGAAUUGCAUGCGCCCAAUCUCCAUGUACAACCAUUUUCAUGUGAUUUACAUACGAAGUUUAGCCUUUUCUGGUCAUAAUGUAUUGUUUUGCAGUCAAAAUGAUUUCUGAUGUUGUAUUCUUUGGCUGCUCGAAUACAUUGUGAUUUUUCAUCAAAGGUUGUGCCAACCUUGAGUGCACCAGUUGGUGGUUGUGCACAAUCUUAUUGUUGAACGAAAUGGUGAUGAUCAAUGUAUUGUGGUAGGUGGUCAAGGUUCAAUUCCACUGAACACUUAGGUUAGUGAUAUUGCUUUGGUCAAGGUGACGUUGGUUCGACAACACCCUCGUCAUUGCUUUGGUCAUUAUUAUGAUGAAACAACUCUUGAUCCUCAUGCUCACUGAAAUCAUCCAUGUUUUCUUCGUGACAUUGUAUAAUGAGAUCUCCAUUACUGAUGGGAUGUUCAUUUGGGUUUGAUGUUUGUGUUUGUGUUUGUUUGUUAGUCGAUAUUCACAACUUAAUUUUGUAUUGAAUAUUUGCACAAAAUUAGAGCCUUACCUCCAAUUUAUGGUUCUUUUUGUAGGAAUUGUACAUAUUUUCAUGUUUAGUGUGAUUUUACAUAUUAGAUACUCACAUUUUGUGAAUUAAUGUUGAAACCACUUCAGUUUCAGGCCAAAAGAAAAAAAGGUUCAAGUAGCUGAUGUCUUGCUAAGCGAGGCAGAUCCGUUUAGCGAGUGACAUCCGCUAAGCGAGGCAUACAGCUUGCUUAACAGGUUGGGAAACCCUAGAAGAGGAUUAGUCAAAGAUGUUCUCGCCCAGCGCGCCGCCAGCUCACCCAGCGAGUAGGUUGUCUCUUCUCACGCUUAGCGUGCCCAGCUCGCUAAGUCAAAAUUCAUUUACUCUCGCUAAACGAGCCUUCAGAAGCUGAAACGUCCAAGAAGCCUUUAAAACACUAAAGUUGGCAAAAACUAAAGGGGGAGUCGAAAUGCAGAGCACAAGGAGAAGCUGAAGCAACAGAAAUAGAGCUGCAAAGAGAGCUUAGGUUAGAG